UUGCUUAAGCAGCAUGUGUGGUAAAAUUGGAAUGAUACAGGAAAGAUUAGCAUGGCUCUUGGGCAAAGGGGACAUUAAAACUGAUUAGCUUAACUUUAUU
rnacentral:snRNA from 1 species